rnacentral:siRNA from 1 species
CUCAAGAAGUUGGUGCUUUGUC